CAACCGUAAAAUUGCAGUUGAUACUGUCAGUCUUGAGUACAGUAGAGGUGGGCGGAAUUCGUGGUGUAGCGGUGAAAUGCUUAGAUAUCACGAAGAACUCCGAUUGCGAAGGCAGCUCACUGGACUGCAACUGACACUGAUGCUCGAAAGUGUGGGUAUCAAACAGGAUUAGAUACCCUGGUAGUCCACACAGUAAACGAUGAAUACUCGCUGCUUGCGGCAUACAGUAAGCGGCCAAGCGAAAGCAUUAAGUAUUCCACCUGGGGAGUACGCCGGCAACGGUGAAACUCAAAGGAAUUGACGGGGGCCCGCACAAGCGGAGGAACAUGUGGUUUAAUUCGAUGAUACGCGAGGAACCUUACCCGGGCUUAAAUUGCAGUGGAAUGAUGUGGAAACAUGUCAGUGAGCAAUCACCGCUGUGAAGGUGCUGCAUGGUUGUCGUCAGCUCGUGCCGUGAGGUGUCGGCUUAAGUGCCAUAACGAGCGCAACCCUUAUCUUCAGUUACUAACAGGUCAUGCUGAGGACUCUGGAGAGACUGCCGUCGUAAGAUGUGAGGAAUGUGGGGAUGACGUCAAAUCAGCACGGCCCUUACGUCCGGGGCUACACACGUGUUACAAUGGGGGGUACAGAAGGCAGCUAGCGGGUGACCGUAUGCUAAUCCCAAAAUCCUCUCUCAGUUCGGAUCGAAGUCUGCAACCCGACUUCGUGAAGCUGGAUUCGCUAGUAAUCGCGCAUCAGCCACGGCGCGGUGAAUACGUUCCCGGGCCUUGUACACACCGCCCGUCAAGCCAUGGGGGCCGGNNNUACCUGAAGUACGUAACCGCAAGGAUCGUCCUAGGGUAAAACUGGUGACUGGGGAUAAGUCGUAACAAGGUAACCA
rnacentral:rRNA from 1 species